GACAAGCUCAAUUAAAAGUCCAAAUGUCCUAGAGAGUUUACAGGGUGUGCAGGCUUUGGUUCCAGCCCAGACUUAAUACAAUUCAAUCAACUAAUUCACUCAUUAUUCAGGGUUUGAUUACAUGGCAAGACUACUGUAAAACGUCUCAAAUAGAAGCCUGUCCCUUUUAAUAGCCAGGUAACGGCAUCACAUCCCUUUUAAUAGCCAGGUAACGGCAUCACAUCCCUUUUAAUAGCCAGGUAACGGCAUCACAUCCCUUUUAAUAGCCAGGUAACGGCAUCACAUCCCUUUUAAUAGCCAGGUAACGGCAUCACAUCCCUUUUAAUAGCCAGGUAACGGCAUCACAUCCCUUUUAAUAGCCAGGUAACGGCAUCACAUCCCUUUUAAUAGCCAGGUAACGGCAUCACAUCCCUUUUAAUAGCCAGGUAACGGCAUCACAUCCCUUUUAAUAGCCAGGUAACGGCAUCACAUCCCUUUUAAUAGCCAGGUAACGGCAUCACAUCCCUUUUAAUAGCCAGGUAACGGCAUCACAUCCCUUUUAAUAGCCAGGUAACGGCAUCACAUCCCUUUUAAUAGCCAGGUAACGGCAUCACAUCUCAGCAAAUAAAAAACGCCUGGUUUUAA